CAGCAGCCGCGGGAAUACGGAGGGUGCAAGCGUUAAUCGGAAUUACUGGGCGUAAAGCGCACGCAGGCGGUUUGUUAAGUCAGAUGUGAAAUCCCCGAGCUUAACUUGGGAACUGCAUUUGAAACUGGCGAGCUAGAGUCUUGUAGAGGGGGGUAGAAUUCCAGGUGUAGCGGUGAAAUGCGUAGAGAUCUGGAGGAAUACCGGUGGCGAAGGCGGCCCCCUGGACAAAGACUGACGCUCAGGUGCGAAAGCGUGGGGAGCAAACAGGAUUAGAUACCCCAGUAGUCCCUGUCUCUUAUAC
rnacentral:rRNA from 1 species